UCUGACACAGGUGCUGCAUGGCUGUCGUCAGCUCGUGUCGUGAGAUGUUGGGUUAAGUCCGUAACGAGCGCAACCCUUGUCCUUAGUUACCAGCACGUUAUGGUGGGCACUCUAAGGAGACUGCCGGUGACAAACCGGAGGAAGGUGGGGAGUGACGUCAAGUCAUCAUGGCCCUUACGGCCUGGGCUACACACGUGCUACAAUGGCGGUACAAAGGGUUGCCAAGCCGCGAGGUGGAGCUAAUCCCAUAAAACCGAUCGUAGUCCGGAUCGCAGUCUGCAACUCGACUGCGUGAAGUCGGAAUCGCUAGUAAUCGUGAAUCAGAAUGUCACGGUGAAUACGUUCCCGGGCCUU
rnacentral:rRNA from 1 species